UCGCCCCGAAAAAACUCAUCUGUUGACCACCGCAUCCUGCUCGCCCGUUCGAUUCGCAGCCACCCCGCGCUCCUUCGCUGACUCUUUGGCGGCGCUGCUAUCCACCCGCGAGCAGUGAGCCAGCUGCAGGCUCGAUGCGACCUCACCGUCUUCCUCCCUGCCCCUCUCUCUCCCAGCAGCACCAACUCGUGGAUCAUUGGUCGUCGUUGCCGCCACCUCCGAGGUGUCGCUCACCAUCACCUUCCCCGUGUCCCCAUGAAGCAGCGGUACAGAUCAAAGUGCAUGUUGUCCUCUCAUGUUUUCCCGAAGUUCACCAUGGUGCUUGUGUUACAAUGGCAUUUUAGAAGGGAAACCUUUAAUCAUCUCGCGAGCUGUCUGAAAGAAGUAAAGAAUUUUGUAAUCGAAGGCAUGGUAACAAUAAUGCUUGUUGGAAACAAAUGUGAUCUAUUCAUCUAUCUCAAAGACCUGCCGUGAGCUAUGUUGAGGAUGACAAAUUUGCAAGGGAUCGAGCAUGGCUUGAUCUUUAUGGAGACAUCUGCGAAAACAGCCAAAAUGCUGAGGAGGCUUUUAUUAAGACUUCUGGAGCAAUAUGCAUGAAAAUUCAACAAGGUUUAUUCGAUGUACCUGAGCCUCGCGGAAUCAAAGUUGCCUAUGCAGUUUGUGGCCAAUUUGUGGGUCAGUGGGUGCUGGCGCCUCGUCUUCCCAAGGUGGUAGCUACGUACCACCGCUAAUGCCUAACGGGAUAAACAAUGACAUCGAGCUUUUCUAGUUGCCGGCUGGAGAAUAGCUAUGUUGGUUCUAGUCCAAGCACACUGUGGCAUGUUUCAGCGGUUUAGUUAGUUUAAGAAACUUAAUCGGUAAUGUCCUGUUUUUCUUUGUAAAUACUCCCUCCGAUCCAUAAUAAGUGUCGGGGCAUUUUUUUAAUUUUAUCUUAAUUUGAACUAAAUUUCGACACUUUUCUUAGGUUGGAUGGAGUAGUAUCUAAGCCUCUCAAGCUCACUUGUGUUCUCUUGUGUGUUUGUUCCAUGAGGUUGAUCCAGCGGAGGCCACAACUAUCACAUGCUCGACACUGUCACCACGGUGUCGUCCUCGUUGGGAUGUAACGCGGGUAGAGUACUUUGUUUUGGCCCUGGCCCCCAUUACCGGUGCUGGUGAGCAACACCGCCUGGCCAUUCCGAUGGUGUUGCGCAGUUGAGCGGCAUCCCAUCCUAUACGUGUCGUUGUUUGCGCUGCCGGUGACCAAGGCCUAGGUGCACUACGGCUGCCUCUCUAGCCACUUCAUGGUCAUCUUGUUGUCCAUGUACAUAGGUGUGGGACAUCGUUCGUAGCACUUGCUGGUCACAUGCAUGACUUCAUCCCUCCAUAAAAAACACCAUACACACAUGUCGAGAGAGAUUGAACUUGAGCUGGAGGUGGAUGGGGGUGUCACCACUACGCUGACACAAGGUGCUUCCAUCCCAUUCCAUAGCCCGUCACCCGAAGAUCGUAGAUGCAUUGGCCCUUGGCACCACUGGCGGAUCUAGCGUCUUAAAACCAGGGGUGCCACGAGUAUAAUUUGGUCUAAAGUUCAUCAGAAUUCCAACAAAUAUUUCCAUCGUAGGAUUUAAGUUAUUGUUAAACUAGUGUUCAAUAUAUUGAAUAAAUCAUUUUGCAAUAUUUUGGGGUGGCAUGCACCCAUAGAACCCCCACCAGGUCCACCAUGCUUGGCACCGUCGUCUAACUAGCGCCGACUAACCUCCACGGCAGUCUAGCCACUAUCGUAAGGUCCCAGGGCAGUGUUCUAGACCUCCAUGCUUCCGCGCUUACUGUUAAUAUGGUGUAGUUGCCGCUGCAAGUAGGGUGCACGGGCGGCAUGAAAGACAAGGCUAAGACCGCGAGUGCCCAUGCUCU